rnacentral:lncRNA from 1 species
AGCAUUGAUUUCUACUUGCAUUCAUCCCUAAUAAAGCUAUGGAAUGAUUUACAUUUAACAAACUCCUAUCUUCCCCUCAUUCCACAAUUAGAUCCUAGUUCAAUGCUCAAGCAAAAUUUUCACAUACUGUUCAGAUAUAGAACUUCAUUAUACUUAUUUUUGGAACAUUGAAAUUCAUUAUUUUUAAAACAGUAUAUCGACUAUCAAUAACCUUUUGUAGUUAGUUGCCUAACAUAUUCAGGAAGCCAAGCAGAAGAGUUA